rnacentral:lncRNA from 1 species
CUUUGCAGUCUUUUUUUUUCCACCGUCGCCCAGGCAAAAAGAGUCGCUGUUAUAUGAUGAUACGGUGGUGUGAACACAAACCAAUCGCGGACACAAGAUGACCCAUUGGCACGAGAGCGCGGGCCAGGUACACAGCCAGACCAAAGGGGGCAGUGAGAAAGAGUCGAUGACAAAAGGGGAAAAAAAGACAAGAGAGCCCUUUCGGCCCAUCAGCGGCGCACGGCCGGGCGCUUGUCGGACUUGGCGUUGGACUCUUCCCAUGCCUUUUGCUUGCGCGGCACGGGCACGGCGCCGCCAAGCACGAGGUCGGUGCCCUUGACCGGGUGCACAUAGGCCAUCAUGAGCACCUCGCGCUUCCAGCGAAAGUGGACGUAGCCGCCACCGCGACGCGCCGCAGCGAUCAUGUCGACCAGCGGGUUGGGACGCCGCGGCGCCGCUGCCGCAGCCAGUCGGCGCCGCCUGCCGCUUCCGUCAAAGGGACCUCGGAUGGGUCCGCUCCCGCCACUGCCGCCCCCGUCGACGUCCUCGUCGGCGCCCGUAUCGCCGACGCCGGCCGUGCAGUCGGCGUCGGUGACGCGAUGGAAUCCCGGCACGCGACCCGUGGCCCCGCGCGCCAGGUGCCUCGUCUUGCCGUGCGCCCAUACGCCGCCUCGCGAGUCGACGGCAAAGGCAAAUCCCCUGCCGCACGACCCCAGCCUCACGGUCUCGAUGGAGUCGAGCAUUUCAUGCACCAACGGAUCGGCGGCGGCGAUGGCGGCCGUGCGCGCACGAGACGAAGAAGCGCUUGCGGUCGACGCUCUGGGCGCGCUUGGAUCGGGGACCCGCGUCGGGUCGGCCUGCGACAUGGUCGCGGACGAGGCCACAGGCGGCUGCUGCGCCGCGGCGCGCUGGUGUGCGUCGCGCAUCACGGCGCUGGCAUGGCGCGAGAGGGCCUUGACAUCGCUGCGCAGACGCUGCUUUUCCGCCACCCACGUCUUGACAUAGCGCACGGCGGAUACAAACAGGGCCAGUGUGGUCGCCACCAAUGUGAUGAUCACCACAAGCAGGAAAAAGGACCAGCGCACCUCGCGCUCUGUGCACACGCACGAAUUCAGCACAAAGGUGGGCGCGCGCGUGCAUUUGGACCCCGCGUCGGGACGAUCGCCCAUCCUUUUCCUCCUUUGUUUUUUGCCUCUUUUCGAGUCGACCACCCGGUGUCUCUGUUGUGACGCCUUUUUUCCGCCUGUUUCUUUUGCGUUGUCGUUGCUGCUGCUGAUGCUGCUGCCGCUGUUUUUCUUUUCUCGGCAGUCAGAUUUCGUGCGCCCGCUAGCCCGGCCGCCGUCGACUUUUUCUUCCUCCUUUCAUGCACACAAGACAAGAUGAGGCGAAGGUGUGCGGCGGGUCGUGGUCCAAUACGACAUUUUUUUAAAGGAAAAAGGGGGAAAAAGGGCAGACCAGGUUUGGAGCGCCUGUUUUGGUGCCCCGCAAGGGGAACACGGGCAUUCCGGCCGGUUUUUUUUGGACGACCGAACGGGGACCGAUGUCAC